UGUAUUAUUAUACGCCCGUCUAUGACGGGACGUAUUAUGGUAUACCCCGCGUCCGUCCGUCCGUCUGUUAAUGUCGUACGCUACGUCAAAUAUCCUUUGACAGAUUUUCUUCAAAUUUUAACACAAUCUUAAUAUUGAUAAACCCUGAUCCCCUUUCGUUUUUGACCGAAUUCUGAAUUGUCGUUCCAGAGUUAUGGGACUUUGUUCGUCAAAAUUUCGUGAUUUCAUUGAAUGUCCUACUGUAGCUAUAUAAAAAUGUUAAAGUUGUUAUAACUUUGGUAUGCUUGGACCUAGAGUCUUGAAACUUGACAUGAAGGUUGGCCAGAACUAGUAAGUAACCACUGGACAUUUCAAGGUCAUUCAUUUGAAGGUCAAGGUCACUGUGACCUUGAAUGUAAAAAUGUUAAAGUUGUUAUAACUUUGGUAUGCUUGGACCUAGAGUCUUGAAACUUGACAUGAAGGUUGGCCAGAACUAGUAAGUAACCCCUGGACAUUUCAAGGUCAUUCAUUUGAAGGUCAAGGUCACUGUGACCUUGAAUGUAAAAAUGUUAAAGUUCUUAUUUCAUGUUAUUACUUUGGUAUGCUUGUACCUAGAGUCUUCAAACUUGAAAUAAAGAUUGGCCAGUACUAGAAGAUGACCACUGGUCAUUUCAAUGUCAUUCAUUUGAAGGUCAAGGUCACUGUGACCUUAAAUGUUAAAAUGUUAAAAUUGUUAUAACUUUGGUAUGCUUGGACAUAGAGUCUUCAAACUUGACAUGAAGGUUUGCAAGCACACUUAGAUGACCACUGGUCAUUUCAAGGUCAUUCAUUCUAAGGUCAAGGUCACUGUGACCUUAAAUGUUAUUGUUGUUCAUGUAUCCUACCGUAGCUCAAAUAUCCCCCGAUGGAUUUUUUAUACGCCCGUCUAUGACGGGACGUAUUAUGGUAUACCCCGCGUCCGUCUGUCCGUCCGUCCGUCCGUCCGUCCGUCUGUUAAUGUCGUACGCUACGUCAAAUAUCCUUUGACAGAUUUUCUUCAAAUUUUAACACAAUCUUAAUAUUGAUAAACCCUGAUCCCCUUUCGUUUUUGACGGAAUUCUGAAUUGUCGUUCCAGAGUUAUGGGACUUUGUUCGUCAAAAUUUCGUGAUUUCAUUGAAUGUCCUACUGUAGCUCAAAUAUCCUUCGAUGGAUUUUUUUCAAAUUUCAACACAAUCUUAAUAUUGAUAAACCCUGAUCCCCUUUCGUUUUUGACGGAAUUCUGAAUUGUCGUUCCAGAGUUAUGGGACUUUGUUCGUCAAAAUUUCGUGAUUUCCAUGCUCAUGUACUUAUAAAAUAAACCAUGUAUUCAAAUACAAAUAAACUGAAGUAAAAAAAUGA